GCGAGUGAAGCGGGAAGAGCUCAAGCUUAAAAUCUCCGUGCAAGUUUUGUGCGGCGAAUUGUAGUCUAUAGAAGCGUGGUCAGCAUGGGCACUUGGGGCAAGUUCCUUGGAAGAGGACAGCAUGGAGGGUGAUACUCCCGUUCAUUUCUGAGUUGCUCGUGCGUACGACCCGUUUUCUUUGAGUCGCGUUGUUUGGGAAUGCAGCGCAAAGUAGGUGGUAAAUUCCAUCUAAAGCUAAAUAUUGGUGCGAGACCGAUAGCGAACAAGUACCGUGAGGGAAAGAUGAAAAGAACUUUGAAAAGAGAGUUAAAGAGUACCUGAAACUGCUGAAAGGGAACCGAAUCGUUUCCAGUGUCUAUAAUCCGUGGUAUAUUUCAUUGGCGAGUGUGUGCGUGCGUGUGCUGUGGCAGCGGCUUUUUUGGCUGCGCUCGGCGUGUGUGCUGUGUGUGCUUGCUGGUGCUCUGUGCUGCGGUGGGACGUCAAGGUCAGUUCGUAUGCUGCGGGAAAUGGCUGCCGAGGAGGUAGGGCUUACGCUUGCGUUUGUCUGUUAUAUCUUGGUGGACGAGUAGUCGCGGUUGGGACUGAGGUGCCUACAACGUGCUUUUGAGUGGGUUUGUGUCUCCGUGUGCGCCGUGUGCGGAUAGCUUGCUAUGCGUGUGUGGUUGUGUGUGGAUUGAUGCGAGCUUUAACUUGUUGCCGUUCGGGACGUUGACGAAAUGGAGCGAUUCGACCCGUCUUGAAACACGGACCAAGGAGUCUAACAUGUGUGCAAGUGUUAGGGUGUGGAAACCCCAGCGCGAAAUGAAAGUGAAGGGCAGCGUAAGUUGUCUGAGGUAGGAAAUGCUGCGGGCUUCGGUCUGCGGUGUGGCACUAUCGACCGAUCAUGAACCUUCGUGGUGAAAGAUUUGAGUUUGAGCACAUAUGUUGGUACCCGAAAGAUGGUGAACUAUGCCUGAGUAGGGUGAAGCCAGGGGAAACUCUGGUGGAAGCUCGUAGCGAUUCUGACGUGCAAAUCGAUCGUCAAACUUGGGUAUAGGGGCGAAAGACUAAUCGAACCAUCUAGUAGCUGGUUCCCUCCGAAAUUUCCCUCUCCCCGAGAGGAUAUA
rnacentral:rRNA from 1 species